rnacentral:tRNA from 1 species
GCCGAAGUGGUGGAAUGGUAGACACGUCAGACUUAAAAUCUGAUGCCUUCAACAGCGUGUGGGUUCGAGUCCCACCUUCGGCA